ACAAAGCAAAGAAAAGAUUUUUGUUUUUAUAAGUUGAGGUAAGCCUGGUGUUUUCCGCGUUUCAAAAAUCCAUGUUAAACGUUCAUGAAAAUACCCUGAAGUAAACAUUAAAAAUGGCUUAUAAAUAUACGGUCGAAUUAUCCUAGAAAUACGAAGCAGUUAUGGUUCUCAGUGGAGUGGGGGGGAUGCUCUAGGUUAUAAAAAUGGUUUGUGGGAAUUCUGUUACAGUGGUACUCAAAUUCAUGAAGAACUAGAAAAACUCGGAGGACUUGAUAAAAUUGACAUUAAAGGAUGGAGGGUUAGUGACGACACUGUACUACACAUUGCUACAGCAGAAGCGUUGGUUUCUGAAUGGACAACAACGGAAGAGUUAUUGUGCAUUAUGGUUACAAAGUACAAGAAGACAUGUGCUGAGGAUAUGUGGGAAAGAGCUCCUGGUCAGACCACAACAAACGCAUGUUUCAUGUUACAACCUCUUGAGGAAAAAGGUUACAUUAUACCCUUUAAUGAAUGAGGUGGCGGAUGUGGUGCAGCUAUGAGAUCCAUGUGUAUAGGUUUGAUGUUUCCUUGUGAAGAUCAAAUUGAAAUGUUAAUUGAAAUUGCUGUUGAAAGUGGAAGGAUGACUCAUAAUCACCCCACAGGUUAUCUUGGGGCUGUUACUGCAGCUUUAUUUACAGCGUAUGCUAUACAGAAGAUACCUCCAAAAAGUGGGAGAGCAGGACUUUUAAGUGUUUUACCCAAAGUUUGGGAAUACAUUGAGAAGGUUGGUCGAGAUGUAGAAGAAAACAAGAAAGCCUGGCGCUACUAGUUGGGAGUCAUAUCUUGAACUAGGGGGAUUAAUGAGUGGAACCAUUGAAUGAAAGUUUCCAGUGACAUAUAACAUACCUGAACGUGAUGCUUUUUAUAAAUCUCUGAGUUAUGCAGGUUGGGGUGGGUCCCAUGGUCAUGAUGCACCAAUGAUUGGUUACCAUUCUUUGAUGGUGGCAAAAGAUACCUGGUUUCAAUUGUGUUCUUUGCUAUGUUUCAUGGUGGAGAUAGUGACAGUACAGGAAUAUUGGCUGCAGCAUGUUGGGGUGGUAUGUAUGGUAUGAAAUGUGUACCUCUUGGAAAUUAUAGGAAUAUGGAAUAUGGUCAUAGGCUUAUGGAGCUGGGUAAAAAAUUACUGAAUGUAUUAAAGAAUAUGAAAAACUAACAGGAUAGUAUUUAUUUAACCAUAUUUAUGUUAUAAAAUUCUGUCAUCCCAAUACACUUUAGUAUGUUUGUGAAUCAUACAAUAAAAGUUACUACUUGGUUA